UACGGAGGAUCCAAGCGUUAUCCGGAUUUAUUGGGUUUAAAGGGUGCGUAGGCGGAAUGAUAAGUCAGUGGUGAAAGCCUGCAGCUUAACUGCAGAACUGCCAUUGAUACUGUCAAUCUUGAGUACAUUUUGAUGUGGGCGGAAUGUGUCAUGUAGCGGUGAAAUGCUUAGAUAUGACACAGAACACCGAUUGCGAAAGGCAGCUCACAAAACUGUAAACUGACGCUGAGGCACGAAAGCGUGGGUAUCAAACAGG
rnacentral:rRNA from 1 species